UACGUAGGGGGCAAGCGUUGUCCGGAAUCAUUGGGCGUAAGAAGCGUGUAGGCGGCCCGAUAAGUCCGCUGUGAAAGUCCAGGGCUCAACCCUGGAAUGCCGGUGGAUACUGUCGGGCUCGAAUCCGGAAGAGGUGAGUGGAAUUCCUGGUGUAGCGGUGAAAUGCGCAGAUAUCAGGAAGAACACCCGUGGCUAAGGCGGCUCUCUAGUACGGUACUGACGCUGAGACGCGAAAGCGUGGGGAGCGAACAGG
rnacentral:rRNA from 1 species